UACGUAGGUGGCAAGCGUUGUCCGGAUUUACUAGGCGUAAAGGAUGCGUAGGCGGACAUUUAAGUCAGAUGUGAAAUACCCGAGCUUAACUUGGGUGCUGCAUUUGAAACUGGGUGUCUAGAGUGCAGGAGAGGUAAGUGGAAUUCCUAGUGUAGCGGUGAAAUGCGUAGAGAUUAGGAAGAACACCAGUGGCGAAGGCGACUUACUGGACUGUAACUGACGCUGAGGCAUGAAAGCGUGGGGAGCAAACAGG
rnacentral:rRNA from 1 species